rnacentral:rRNA from 1 species
GGGAAUAUUGCGCAAUGGCCGAAAGGCUGACGCAGCGACGCCGCGUGGGGGAUGAAGCAUUUCGGUGUGUAAACCCCUGUUGCCCGGGACGAACAAGCAGAUUUUUCUGCUCUGACGGUACCGGGUGAGGAAGCACCGGCUAACUCCGUGCCAGCAGCCGCGGUAAUACGGAGGGUGCGAGCGUUGUCCGGAAUCACUGGGCGUAAAGGGCGCGUAGGCGGUCUGCUAAGCGUGCGGUGAAAGCCCGGGGCUCAACCCCGGGUCUGCCGUGCGAACUGGUGGACUAGAGCACUGUAGAGGCAGGUGGAAUUCCGGGUGUAGCGGUGGAAUGCGUAGAGAUCCGUAAGAACACCGGUGGCGAAGGCGGCCUGCUGGGCAGUAGCUGACGCUGAGGCGCGACAGCGUGGGGAGCAAACA